rnacentral:lncRNA from 1 species
GUGUAAUAUCCCUCACUUUUGAAAAUUAUUAAUAAAGAUUUAUUUAUAAAUCGGGGGACCUAUAUGUAAAUAUGGAAAUUUCAAGGACUAAACUGUUAAGUUGCAAAAAGAAAAAAAAGAUAAAGGAAAACCGAAAAUUCGGUUUUAUCCCACCGCCUCCCACGCUCUCUGUUCCUCGAACAGAGAGAGAAGCGGUGGGGCGUGGGUCUGUUUCUCGAACAGAGAGAGGAGCGGUGGAGCGUGGGGAGAAGAAGAGAGGAAGAAGAGGGAGAAGAGAAGAAGAAGAAAAAGAAGAGAGGGGAAUAGCUGCGGCAAAGCUGCAGCGAGGAGGUGUGUGGCGUUGGGGAGGAAAAGGGAAAGAGGAGAAGAAGAGAAGGAGAAGAAGAGGGAAAAGAGAGGGAANN